rnacentral:lncRNA from 1 species
UUGGAGAAAAAUCUGGAAAUUAGAAGGAGGAAGGGAAGAAGCUACGGGAAAAAAGGGGGAGAAAGAAAGCAAGGAAAAGAAAAAAGAAAGGCGGCGGACGGAGGGAAAAACAAGAAAAAGGGAGGCUACGGGGCUGGGAAGAAAAGAAAGCAAAAAAGAGGAACAGAGCAAGAAAAAGAAGGAAACCGAGAGAGAAAAAUUUGGGAAAGAGCUUCAGGGCUAAACAAGAGAGAGCAAGAGAGGUAGGGAGAAACUACAAGAGAUAGAGAGAAUGAGAGGAAAACUCUAGAAAAACAAGAAACAAGAAACAAGAAAAAAAAAAAAAGAAGCUGCGGAGGAGAAAGAGCUUGGGCAGAAAAAAAAAACUAAGAGAAAAGAGGAACUAGUAGCAAAAGAAAACCAUGGAACAGAGGAGAAGACGGAGCUGCCAUCGUUCGCCGAAAUCACCCACCACCGUUGCCGUCAAUCUUCACCGGAAAAACACUGUAAGGCUUUCUAACGAAUGUAUGGAAAUGAGAGUUAUUGACCUACUUGCUCCUCUCCUUUUUCUUUUAGUAAAAAAUUCUUAUCUCUUUCUGAUGUUUAUGCAUUCGUGUGGAGCUGUAAUUUCUGUUGUUUGUAAGAGAGUUGGUUGGGUUGCUGUAAAUUUUAGGCUUGCUAUUUUGCAAAUCAAUAAAAUCGGUUCAAUUUUGUUGAUGCACCUAACCUGUUUGAUAAAAGACCUCUGCAUAAACUUAAGCCAAAGAAGUCAAUAUGGUGAUUUUCUGUGUGAGUGUAAGAGGAACUCUGGCCCAAAGCUGGCCAGAGCCUGUGAGUUCGAUAGUUGGGGGGGGGGGGGGGGAGGAAAGGAAGUCAAGAAAUUUUGAAGUUGAUUUCUUCCGUUUUGGCUGUCUUUUGUAUCUUACAAUGGUUUAGUGUGUACUUGUGCGUGUGGAGUGAAAAGAGAAAACUCCAGCCAGUCCAAUGCCGGCUGAAGCGACGAUUUCCAGUUUUUUCGGUGAAGUCUCGGUGAAGUGACGAUUUCCAGUCCAACCUUUCUUGUCUUUUAGUUUCUAGAAUCUGUUUUCUCUCCGUUAUGGUAUGAUAACCUUUUGGAUGGCUUGAUACGUUUAAUGAAAACCCAAAAAUCUGCGAAGAAGAUGAAGGCUUCGACUAAGAAGCCUAAACAUUUUUUGGAAAUUCUGUUUAAACCCUCUAACUUUUACUUACUUCUGAUAUGGCCCAAAAAAUGGAAAUAUCAGUCAAUUCUUGUCCUUUGAAAUCUUAAUUUUUAUUUGGCAAAAUGUAAUAUGAUUUUCGGACAGAUUAUGUGUGAGUUUUAUGAUGAAAUUUAAGGUUUAAUAAUUUCUAUACAUUUAUAAUUUUAAUUUGAGUUUUAGUGGAAAAUUUAAAGAUUUGGGUAAUAUUAUUGUGGAUUUAAUUUAUUUUGUGAAUUUUAGCAAUUAAGUUUGAUAAGCUUUAAUUGGAGCUCUUAAUUUCAUUUUUCUUUAAUUUUGACCCUUAAGAUUUUGUGAUGAUAAUUUGAUCCCCAAAACUUUUUUUUUUCAAUUAGGUCCUUGUUUGUUUAAAAUUUCUUAAAUAUGGGUUGUUUACUUUCAUUAAAUACUUUAAUUGAUUCAAUUUCAUAUUUAUUUCCAUAUUUUAUGAUUAUUUGUUAAUUAAAGUGGUGCCUUAACCAUUUUCUUCGUGUUGGAGAGAAGAAAUAAGGGCAAUUUGACUCCAUUUAGUCACCAUUUCAAAAGGGAGGUACCCCUAUUAUUAUUAUUUCAAUGUCAAUUACGUGUUCUUAUGUGCUUCUACGUGUUCCUAUGUGUUUAUAUAUAUUUAUAUGCUUCAUUUAUUUGAUUUAAAUGUUCAUUCAAACUUUUUUAUAUUUAUUUAGUUAAUUUUUAUAAUUAUUUGAGAGGCAUUUAAAUACCUCAAAAAUGUAAUAGAUAGGAUAAUUAGAUUUGUUUUAUUAUAUUUUCUCAUUUUAAAUUGUAAUAGGUAGGGUGGAUAGGAUUUUUUCAUCUCCCCAUUUUAGAUUGUAGUUAGAUUCUCCGUUGUAAUAGGUAGGUUUUGUCUGUUUAUGUGGCUUAUGUGUUAUAUAUUUUACUCGCUUUCCUUAGGACUUUUGCAUCUAGAUAUUAUGUCUAUGGGUUACGUGCUACGUGCUCUUAUGUGUUUAUUUGUUUUAAUUUAUACCUUAUUUGUCUUACUAUGUUUUAAUAAUGCAUAACAUUACCACACUAGUCCAAUGCUAGUUGUGGCUUCUCCCUCCAUUUACUUGCUAGUCCAACGCUAGUAAGAAUUUCUAAAAAUGGGUUAGUUCAACGCUAGACCUUUAGAUCGUUCGUGCGUUAGAUUCAUUUUUGAGUGAUAUUCAUUACAUUUUCAUGCAUAUUUUUAUUUUUAGGAUCUUUUCUCAUUUGUGUGAUAUUGCCUAUUAUAUUAUCCUCUAUCUUCUAUGUGUUAAUCAUAUCAUUUAGAAUUGCAUCUCAUUUAAGAAAUUGUAAAAUAAGUUAGUUCAUUUGCUUGUCUAGAUUAGGAGAAUUAUUCUUCGAACAUGGGAAAUGGGCGAUUAUAACUUUUUAAUUUAAAUACCCAUUAAUCCCUGCAUAAGAAAAUUAUGUCACGAGUUUUUGCCUCCCAUAUCCAUUAUGUUGCAUUCCCCAUUCUUUGGCCACUUAUACCUAUAUAUAUAUAAUUUAACUUUCUUUUCUUUUAAUUUCAUCAUUCGCAUACUCGUGACCCCUUCAAGGAAUUAUUUUGGCUUUCGCAAUUAAUGCGAUUGGUAUCAAUUAAACCCUUGAAUGGACAUUUUUGUCCUUUUCGAUAUUUUAUAAAUUUAGAUUUGCAUCCAUAUAGAAAACAUCCAAACGUGAUAAAUUUAAGAGUUAGAUUAAGAAAAUUUUUUGAUUAAAUCUCGCAACUAACUUAGACUAGGUUGAAAGGGUGCCUUAGAUUUGAGUUAAUCAAACUUUUGCCUUCGUUUUCUUCAACCGUGACUCCCGUACUCAUUUUCUCUUGUUUUUCAAAGAUCUAGAGUUGUCGAAAAGGGUUUUAUUUUAUUUUAUUUUUGUCAAAAAAUACUUUUAGGUGACUUGGUACACAAAAACUCAAUACCAAGUGGCGACUCCUAUUUUUCUUAAAAACUCUUUUAAACUAAAUUUGGAUCCAAACUGUCGCAUUUUUUAAAGUCUCAUUCUAGGUUAUUGUCACUUAUUUUUAAAUAAAAAUCACAUCUUUUAUAAAUAUUUAUUUUCAUCGCCAAAAAUGGGGUGCGACAAUUUGGCGACUCCACUGGGGACUUUAGAAAGUUCGACCAUUUGAUUUAGUCAAUCAUUUUCUUUUUCUAACCUUUUUAUAUAUCACAUUUGGAGGUUUUAGAUUGCAUUUUUUUCUUUUAGGGUUUCUUGCAUUUAACACGCUCGAUCAUCUCGAUAUCCGUGUCUAUGAUGAAUAAAUGUGUUUAUUUUCUUUCAUUCACUUAUGUUUAUAUAUCGCGCUUGCAUCUUGGGGGAAGAGGAAUAGCCACCCUAGAACUUUCACCUGCAUUUAAUGGUAUUUAAUUCCUCCCCUCAAAAGGAAGUACCUCAUACGUGUAUGCAUUACUUUUACUCUAUUUUUUUUCUUUCUCAUGGGCGCCAUCUCACAUCUCCUUAUAGGAUUAGUAUCGAUUUUCUUAAGUAGGUGGAUGGUGUGCUCUGCACCCAUAACGAUGCCUAAGGGAUCACUCAAGCCACCGACCGAAGGCCUUGAGAUUGAUGACCCUUCGCCUUUUGGUCUGAAGGUUUGGGAACCUGAAACCUUAUCGAGUUUAGAUGCAUUAGUAAGCCAAAUCUCAUGCAUCCAUAUUAAAAAAUCCUAAGAUAGAGUCAACAUUAUCUAACUAGGAACAGUAGACACGAGGGGAGGGAUUCCACCCUUCUUUCUUUACUUUCCAUUUUUGUAUCAUGUUUUUGCUCCAACUUGUUAUGUGUUAUUUGUUAUUCUAACCUCUCUUUGUUUUCUCUUCUUAUGCAUUCACCAACUUUAGAUAAUAAGAGUCCUGGCAUAGUAUUUAGAUAGCUUAUUGCACGUUUAAAUUAUAAGUUAUUGCAUUUUAUUACACACCAUUCUAGGCUUACCCCAACAUUUAAAUGGGGCACUUUUAGGUCAUACUUCAAUCGUUGCAUUAUAUAUUUAAUACGCUUUAAUAAAUUGUCGUCAUGCAUUAACCAUAGAGGGAAUGCCGCAUAGAGAAUCCCACGUUAGAAAUAAACUAGCUUGUGUCUCGGAUACAUAAUUCAAUGAGACUUACACGUUUAUAUUUUCUUUUACUAUUCUGAGGGAUAAAAAUCCCGAAGGUACUAAAAGUGAAUUUCUACUCAGAUGGCUCCUUGCAGAGUAUUGAAUCAGAUACCUCGAGAACUAAUUGAUUAAAAGAAUAAUAUGUCGCAUGAGGUUAAAAGAUUAUUCAAAUAUGUGGGGCAUUUGCCAAGUCUCUUGAACGUGACGCCCAUUGUCGCGAUUAUCCAAACUCUACUUGAAUAUUGGGAUUCGGAAGAUUCGAUUUUUCGAUUUAACGAAUGUGAGUUGACGCUGACUUUAGAAGAAAUAGAAGAACUUUUGCAAGUACCAAGGAAAGGUCAUCCCAUGGUAUAUCUAACUAGUGGAACAAGGGAACAGUUUUGUAGGUUUUUGGGAUUGAAGCAAAAUAGUAUGGAUCAACAUCCCGAUGCAAAAUCGUGCCGGUUAGAGUUCCUGUACAAGCAAUUUGGGGAAAGAGAAUCAUAUGACCAAUGCCACGACGACUUCUUCAUUAGCAGAGAACAAUGGAAGGAGAAGCGAGUGCAAGCCUUUGGACUAACUCUGAUAAAUCUGUUAUUGUUCCAGCAAAAAUAUGGAAAAGUCACGUUCUCAACUAUUAAUAUGAUUCAGAGUCUGUUUCUAGGAAUCAAUGGAAAGACCCCUACCUUGGUACUUGUUAUCAUUGCCGAUAUCUUCACAGCUGUUACUGAGUGUCAAAAGAAAAGAGGGUUCUUCUAUGCAUCAAAUGUGGUAAUUCAAAUGUGGGCGAUGGAGCACCUAUCAAAGAGAACGCUCAAUCCCUUAAGAUCGUGUCUUCCAACAGAGAAUUGGAUCGAAUCACACCGAGAAAGAGUCAAAAGAUACUACUGAAUGGCAUCUCCGAGCCAGUUUAUUCAAGAGUUCGAUAAUUUGACUCCGGAUAACAUACAAUGGGUUCUUGAUUGGACAAAAGUUAGGGAUCCACCUUUCACGACUACACAACAUAGUUUUAUCCCUCUAGCAGGCACCAAUGGGUUGGUCGCGUAUGUUCCGCAACGAGUCAUGAGGCAGUUUGGAUAUUCACAAAAAGUUUCGAUAAUACAAGAAAUUGAAAAAAUCAGACUCAACACAGUUGCCGAGUGCCGAAGCAUGGUACUGGAAGUUUGGGGAAAUUUUCAUAACCAAGACAACCUAUACCUAGAUCAAGUGAAUAAAUUAGAACCUAAGGUCAUAUCGGGAUAUUGUGAAUGGAUCAAACUGAUAAUAAAACAAGGAAGAGAAAGGUCGCCAUCUGUCUCCACCAGUCCUGAAGAGCAAAUAGAGAAACUAAAGAAGGAAUUGGAGGAUCACUAAUUGCAGAUUAUAGUGGCCGACCAUGCCUUGGAAGAUGCCCGAUCGCAAUCAAAGAGAGAGACAAGGAAAACUGAAAAGUUGGAGAAAGCAUUGGAUGCAUUUGACAAAAUUCAAGAAGAAAUUCGGAAGUUUAGCAUAGGGAGUUAUAGGGAAUCUCAACAUACUUGAUUAGCAAGGCAUGAGAAUUUUGUAAAAAUGGUCAGUUGAACCAUCAAUGAGAUUGUAAAGAAUGAUUAAACUUAUCAGUAUUCACUGAGGAUUUCUAUUUUUGAUUUCUACAUUUACUUACAGGUUUGAAAUUGGGAUUUUAUCCUGAAGAUAUUGCAUCAUGUUAGGUCAACUCUUGACGUAAAAAAGGCUCCCCCAUAGGACAAGUAUCCGAAUUAUUUAAAUAUCUACUAACUCAUGUCUUUUUUCCUUUUUCCUUCUUUUUGAAAAAUUACAGCAAUUUGAUACAAAAUCCAUUCCUGAGCCGAUUUCUUUCCUCUACUAUCAGGUAAUUGCAAACAUAGUUACACGAAAAAACCCCAAAUCAUCCGAUCACGUAGCCGAACUUUGAGAAAUAGUGUAAGUAUUAGUACACAUCCUGAAUCAUCUUAUAGGACUACAACAACGCCACCAACCAACCUUGCAAAUCUAGGAGUUCAACUGAGCGAAGUGUUAAACAAAUUUAAUGAGUUAAGCAUGGAGAUGACCGCACAACGGCGCGUGAUUGGUCAAUUGGUAACUGGUAGCGGUAGCGGUGUUCAACAUGAGCCCUUACCUGCUAGUCAACCUGAACCUCAACCAUUGUCCUUACCUUAUAUUCAAACCUCUUUUGCUUCACAUGUCAUAAAUCCACCUGAGGAAGCUUUCACCUAUCCCACUCAUGGCCUACCACAUACCUAUGCACUCAACAUCCAAAUCAAUCCUUCUCACUCUCAAAUUCCUCUAAAUUAUCCACCUGUUAGUCUGAACAUGCCACUUGAACCUCAAGAACCAUAUUAUUAUUCCACUGCAGAACUAUUCACGCUAAACACCGCUGUCCAAGAAAAGGUUGAAGUAGGAGAAUCCUCAGCGCCAAUUGACAAGAAUUUAUUAAAGAGGUUGGAUCGGUUUGAUGAAUUCAUGAGGAAGAGUCAAGGCCUGAGCAACAAGGAGAUAUAGACCAUAAUGAAUUGUGCAUGUUUCCUGAUAUGCAACUGCCUGUGGGUUUUAAAACACCUAAAUUUAGCAAGUAUGAUGGAACAGGAAACCCCAAGAUGCAUCUCCGAAUGUUUGCCAACAAAUUAGGAAAGACAAUAGAUGACGAGAAUUUGCCAGUUCGAUUGUUUCUCGAAAGUUUAGAAGGCGAUGCACUGGAUUGGUAUUCCAAUUUGAAACCUGAUGAGAUGAAGACAUGGAUGGAUUUCUCAACGGCGUUUGUAAGACAAUACGAGUAUAAUUGCGAGUUUGCUCCGACGAGAACCACACUUGAGGGGACUAAAAGGAAACCAUCUGAGAAUCACAAGACUUAUGCAAAGCGAUGGAGGAAAUUGGCUGCCAAGGUGGAAUCUCCUAUGACUAAAGAGGAAAUUGGCUGCCAAGGUGGAAUCUCCUAUGACUAAAGAAGAAAUUGUUCGAACAUUUAUCAAAACUCAUGACCCGCUCUAUUUUGAGAAAAUUUUUCGCAUGACUGGAUGUUCAUUUGCAGAAAUUGUUAACAAAUUGAAGGAGUAUGAUGAGUUUAUAAGAGCGAAAAAGAUUGUUAAUGUGUCAACUCUGAAGUCGCAAUUAGAAGGGUUGCAAAAUCAAGGCAGCAGUAGCAAGAAAUCUCAAUUCAAGAAGAGAGAGGAGGAAGCUUCAUUUGUUUGGAACCAAGGCCCUUCUUUCCGAUUUAGAUACCAACAAUACCCCACUUAUCCAUCCCGUUACCCAUACCAACCACGCUCUCGACCUGUUUAUCAUACCACCAUCAACCAUCCUCGAUCCCGACCAAAUUACUCAAACACACCCGCAACACCAUUUCACAUUUCUCCACAUAACUUUCAAACUAGAUCUCGUCCUCCUUAUAAUCCAAGACCUACUCCGCCAACUAACCAAAAUUACAACUACCAACAAACCAAUGACACCUAAAAUCUAACCCCAUACAGAACUUUCACCAAUCUAGGUCGGCCCGUUGAUCAGUUAUAUGAACAACUCAAAAUCGCAGGAAAAAUUGGUGCGAUACCUCCUAAAACCUACCCUAGGGGCAUUUCUGCUGGUUAUGACCCUCAAACAAUUUGUGCAUAUCAUUCUGGAGCUCCUGGAUAUUCUAUCGCCAAUUGUUGGGCGUUUAAGUAUAAAAUUCAGGAUAUGAUUGAGGCCGAAAACAUAGUUUUGAGAAGGAGAGAUGAACAAGGACUAAGUGUUAGCAAGAAUCCUCUUCCCACGCACAAGGAUACUGUUCGAGCUAUUACCAUAGACGAGGAAACCGAGGAACCUACUCAAUACAUUAUGGAUGAAUCUGAGACAAUGGGGGUCAUUGGAGAACCAUUCAUACUGGAAGAAGAAACUUACGAAGUCAAGAAAAAUGCUGAUCCUUUUCUCUUGGAUGUGAUACCUUUCGAAUGUGAGCCAUCAGAGCUUCUGAUACUUAAAUUGCCUGAACAAGCGUCUGUUCUUAAUCUACAAGAAAUCCCAUGAAAUUAUAGUGAGCCUAUUUUAUUGAUUGGAGGAGAAGGAGUGCCAAAAAAGGAGGUGGUCGCUGUCACUGGAUCUGGAAGAAUCAUAAAUGAACCUGCAGUUAACGAGCCAUCAAAAGCAAAGGAAAAUGCCGUGCCAACAAGACCAGCUGUGACUAAAGACGAAACAUUCAAUUUUCUCAGGAUGUUGAAGAAAAGCGAGUAUAAAGUGAUCGAGCAAUUGGAUAAAAUGUCCGCUCAAAUUUCUAUGUUGAAUCUGCUCUUAAUCCCGGAACCUCAUAGAGAAGCUUUACUCAAGGUAUUAAUUGAGACUCAAGUGCCUAAGAAUAUUCCGAUUGACAAAUUCACCCAUGUAGUCGAGUAUGUUUUGGUUUCAAAUUAGAUUUCUUUUUCUGAUGAAGAUUUAACUUCUGAGAAGAUUGGACAUAACAAGACAUUGUAUAUCUUAGUCCGUUGUAAUGGGAAGUUGUUACCGAGAGUUUUGAUAGACAAUGGAUCCGCUUUGAAUAUUUGUCUAUGGAAUACUUUGGUUAAAUUGGGGUUUUAAGAGGCUAAAUUUCGGUCGUCUGCCACCGUGGUGAGAGGAUUUGAUGGCGUAAAAGAGAAUCAAUGGGAGAAGUGGAUUUAAUGCUAGAAAUCGAACCUGCCCAAUUCCAAAUCAUGUGCCAAGUUAUGGAUUUCUCAAAUGUUUAUAAUAUUCUACUUGGACGACCUUGAUUUCACGCUUCGGGCGCUAUACCAUCUUCGCUCCAACAAAUGUUGAGAUUUGUGGUGAAUGGCCAGUUGAUCACGGUAUUUGCAGAGGAUGAUUGUACUAUGAUUGUUAAUUCUGGGCCAAAUGAGGAAGAUGUUAGAAAAUCUCUGGUUUCUCCUCACCAUGUGGCUGACAUCGUUUCAGUAGGCUGGGUAUCUAAGGACAAAGCGGUGUUGGAAAUAAAUUUACCAGAAACCAGCAUUAUGAUGGUUAAAGAGAUCAUUCGGGGAGGAUACGAGAUAGGCAAUGGUCUCUGGCGUAACUUGUAGGGAGUUCUAGAACCCAUAGAGGUUCAAGGAAAGAAGAAUACCUUUGAACUAGGGUUUCAACCUAUUGCCAAGGAUAAGAAAGAAAUGCUGGAUCGCAAGAAAGCGGAAAAGAGAGGAAAUCAAAUUAUCAGGAGUAUCACACCAUUGUACUGCAUUUUUCCUUAUCCAUCAGAAGUGAUUAAAUCUGAAGUGGACCAUGUGACAGCCCCACCUCCCCCUAAGGCGAACCAGAGGGUUCGACGGGCCGCCUGCCCAGCUCUCGCCGGGACUCAGUCGUUCACUACCAUCCUCAAAUGAAUUACAAGAAUAAACCUCAAAUAUUACAAUAUAAAUCUCCAAUAUAACAUCAAAUUCUCCAAUAAUUACAUGUCAUAAGCGAAGCGGAAACAAUUUCCAACUAUACAUAAAAUGAUUCCAAAUCCAAACUGUACAAGAUAUAGGCCAUCCAGACAUGUGAAUAAAUACUACAAGUCCUUCCUUCGCCUUGAGCCCUGUGGAGGGGAAUAAAAUAGUUUUGGGGUGAGUUAGAAGCUCAGCGAGUAACCAGUAAAAUCAGAAAUCAAAUAUAUUUCACAAUGUUGCAUUUCGAUCAUUUCGAUGAUGUCAUGAUUCAGAGAUCAAAUGUACAUUUAUUGCUCUCGUGAGCUAGUGAAAUCAUUGCACUUGAACACCCAACACUCAAAUAAAUCAUUUAACAUUAACAUUGAGAGGGAGCCCCUUUUUGAGCUCCAGAUAAACAUAAACAUGAACCAUAAACAAGGUGGAGACGUUGGUGUCCAGCACAAGACUUUCUCAGAACUCAUUGAAGCCAAAUCAUGUCAUGAAUCCACAUGCAAGCACGCAUGAUAUGCAAUCGAAUAAAUAAUGCAAGAAACAUUUCACAAGUAUUUUGGAAAUAGUUUAGGGUCACUCACCUCCACGGCUCAGAAAUCAUCCAGCAUAUAACAUUGCCUUGCUCAAAUCCAAGUCUUAGAUCACAAACUCAAUGCAAACAAAUCCCUUCAAAGUUCGGACAGCACUUCCCCUGAAUUUGCUAACUUUUCCAGCCGUCAUGGCUUCAUUAUUUCCUCAUUCCAACCCAAAGGUACACACACAACAACAAGUUCAUCCAAUAGCCAUUCAGCAAGCUCCAAGUAGUACUAGUACAAGUCAAGCAAGGGAAAAGUCCGGAAAUGAAAGUUAAGCUCAAAACCAGAAAAACAGCUUUUGACGUCAUUUUGCGGUAAUGAUACCAAAGGCGCUACGAUUGUCGGAUGAAGGUGAAAGAUACACCGUUUCGAAGCUAAGAGACAGGGCUACAAUAUUACAAAAGGUCACUCAACCCAGUUUCGAGUGUAACCAGGUAAAAAAUGCAAGAUACUACACCAGAAUCACAGAACGCAUUCUAGCGGAAACAUCAUAAAUCAGGUUAUCCAAGUCCAAAUCCAAAAAUUCCAAAACCAGCUGAAAGCUAAGAAACAGGGCUAAAUUUCAUCAGAAGGCCUCAACAACCAAUUCCAGCCAAAACAACCAAUUACAGGCGCAAUUCUUAUAUUCGGGUAAAACCAGAAUAGCAAUAGUAAUUUCGACUUUUCUCAUUCUACACUACUCCGAUUGAACUGAAAUUUUUUAGGUACCUCUAAAAUGUCAUUCACUACAACUUUCAUGUUUUAAGCCAAGGCCAAUUCGGCCUCUAACUAGGAGCUAAAAAUUCGGGCAGAAUGUUCCUUCACAAAACCUAAUUUUCUGAAAUUUCUUCCAAAACAGAAAUUGAUUGCAAUUGUCCACUUUUUCCACCUUCUAGAAUCAUUAUAUACCAUUUCCAAUCAUCAUAGAUAGCCAUACAACCAUGCUUAUAUUAAAACAGAAAAAUCCCCAAAAUAAUAAAACUUCAUCACUUCAACCACAAAUCAAGAAAUAAUCCAUAAUAUUGCAUCUCAUACCACCACUAAUCAUGAUUUAAGCAUCAAUUAAGGGAAGGAGAGGGGUCCUUCACAACUCACCUUAGCAAUACAAGAACUAGAGCAACUAGUCACCUUAGCUUUCCAAACAACUUCACAACCAAGCUCAACUCCACCAAACUAAGAGGUUUUAUGGAGUAAAUUCAAGUUUAAUCGGUUGGAAUUGAAGAUUGAGUGAGAUGAGAAGCUAGAAAGUUGAGAGAUUUUUCUUCUUUUCCUUUGAGAGAGAGCCAGCCAUGAAGCAUAGAAAUAGGAUGAUUUUUGGGUCAAAAUUGAGUAUUAGUAAAGGUAAGAAAUAAUGGUCAAAGUCCAAGAUUAAAUCACAAGGUGACACUUGUCACCUUUUUGGUUUAAAACUUAUCUUUUUGUCUCUCCAAUACAAAUAUCUUAACACCUUGUAAAAUAAUAUCACUUAAUACAAAAUUCUAACAAGUUGUCAAAAAUAUAAUGCAUUUACCGCACUAGCGGGUCCCACGUCCAAAAUACGCUCGUAAUUUCUCAAAAACUAACCGAUACUAGAAAAAUCAUUUUAAAACUAUCUUUGCUCAUAAACUUUAUUUGGGGAAUUUUUCUAAUAAAGAAAAUGUAGAAAAGGCGGGCGAUUAAAUAAAAUAAACCCUAGAAAAUUAAAAAAAUUUCGGGUUCUCACACUCAUACUUUUCGGGGCGUCACAGACCCGAUCGAUAAGGUGGCUAUUAGUUUGUCUGAGUUAUUCGUGGGGGUUACUUAUGAUGGUGAGCCAUCAGAGAAUCCAGAAUUUUCAGAAGUCUCCAGGGAAGCAAUGAAGAAUUUGACUAGUGAUUUCCUUCCCUCCCAAAGGGAAUUUCGGUAAAUCUAGGGAAUUACCUUUGGUUGAGAAUUAUGAAAGAAAUCAUUCACAUCGCCCAUCUUUUGCAUUUCAGUCUUGUAAAUAGUUUUGAAACAAAUGUCUUUUCAAUACAAGUCUUAUGUUAAAUAGCAUACCUUUUAUUAAGUAGCAUAUUAUGACGUUUUGUCCUUUAUUUGAAAUUCACUGAAAUGCACAGUGUUUAUUUUUCAAAUUGUUUUACUUACUUAUUGUUGUAUCUAUCUCAUUCUUUUUUCAGAUGGCUAAAAAUAAAAUUCAUUGACCCUUUGGAUAUCACUAUUCCGAAUUUUGAUGAUUGCAAUCUUGAUAUCUUUCACGAAUUCGAAAUUUUGGAAUCAAAAAUUCAAGACGAGAGUGAUAACGAGGAAGAAUCUGAGUUUUCGUUAAAGAAUUUUGAACAAUAUGAAGAGAAAUUCAAACCGAACUUAGAAAAAAUAGAAAUCAUUAAUAUUGGCACUGAAACCGAUGUCAAGGAGAUAAAAAUUAGCAUUCAUUUGAAUAAGAAGUAGAGAAAAGAGAUGAUUGAAUUCUUGACCAUGUUUCAAGAUGUGUUUGCUUGGUCUUAUGAUGACAUGAUGGGUAUUUCAAGAGAUAUAGCGGUGCACAAAUUGCCAACAGACCCAAAAUUUUCACCAUGAAGUAGAAGUCUCGUAAAUUCAAACCGGACAUAAGUCUUAAAAUCAAGAAGCAAAUCGAGAAGCAACUCACUGCAAGAAUCAUCAUGGUGUCUCACUACUAUAUUUGGCUUUCAAAUCCAGUCCCCAUCCCGAAGAAAAGUGAAGAGGUAAGGGUAUGUGUUGACUAUCGAGAUUUGAACAGGGCUAGUCCAAAAGAUGAUUUUUCCUUGCCAAACAUAUAUAUCCUUUUGGACAACACCGCUAGGCAUGAGAUUGAAUCCUUUGGUGAUUGUUUCGCCGGAUAUCAUCAAAUUCUAAUGGCAGAAGAGGACAGAGAGAAAACUGCUUUUAUCACUCCAUGGGGAACGUUUUGCUAUCGAGUAAUGCCAUUCGAAUUGAAAAAUGUUGGAGCUACUUAUCAAAGGACCAUGACCACCUUGUUCCACGAUAUGAUUUAUAAGGAGAUGAAAGUUUAUGUGGAUGGUAUCAUAAUCAAAUCCAAGAAAGCGGAGGAUCAUUUGGUUGACUUGAAAAAGUUAUUUGAAAGGUUGAGAAGAUAUAAUUUGAAAUUAAAUCCCGCGAAGUGCACUUUCAGAGCUCCUACCGGCAAAUUAUUGGGGUUCAUUGUCAGUAAAAAGGGCAUAGAGAUAGGUCCGAUAAAGAUUAAAGCCAUUCGUGAAAUGCCAGUGCCAAAAACACAAAAAGAUAUGCAGAGUUUCUUAGGAAAGAUUAAUUUCAUCGGUCUAUUCAUUGCUCAAUUGACUUUUACAUGUGAGUCUUUGUUUAAAUUGUUGAAGAAAAAUGUGUCAUUGUAUUGGAGUGAAGAAUGCCAACAGGCUUUUGAUAAGAUCAAGGAUUACUUGUUGCAUCCCCCCCCCGAUUUUAGUGCCAUCCAAACCAGGUCGACCUUUGAUUAUGUACCUGUCUAUGCUCGACGAGACUGUGGGAUAUGUCUUGGGGCAGCAUGAUGAUUCUGGAAAAAGAGAGCAAGUCAUUUAUUAUCUUAGCAAAAAAUUCACACCUUACAAGGCAAAAUACACAUUUCUUGAAAGGAGUUGCAGUGCAUUGGUCUGGACAACUCAGAAAUUGAGGCAUUACUUGCUUAGUCACACCACCUACCUUAUCUCUCGUUCAGAUCCUUUGAAGUACUUAUUGGAGAAACUAAUGCCGACCGGACGCAUGACUCAAUGGCAAAUGAUCUUUUCUGAAUUCAAUAUCAUUUUCAUCAUGCAAAAGGCAAUCAAGGGUCAGGCUAUAGCAGAUCACUUGGCUGAAAAUCUAAGGGAAGAUGAUUAUCAACCGCUUCACACUUAUUUUCCUGAUGAGAAGAUCUUGUUUAUUGGUAUAGCAGAGGAUAUGAAUGAGCGAUACUCUGAGUGGAGACUGUUCUUUGAUGGUGUUUCAAAUUCUUUCGGAGCUGGUAUCGGAGCUAUUAUAGUAUCACCUGAAGGAAAGCGUUAUCCCGAUUCCGUUAAACUACGAUUUUUAUGCACUAACAAUAUGGCUGAAUAUGAGAUUUGUAUUUUUGGACUCAAAAUGGCGUUGGAGAUAGAGAUUAAGGAUUUAAUAGUGUUCAGUGAUUUCGAUUUACUCAUGCAUCAAACGCUCAAAGAAUGGAUCACUCGAGAUUCAAAAAUCUUGUCAUAUCAUUGUAAUUUACUAGAUUUAGCAAAAAAAUUCAGGAGUUUGGAGUUCAGACAUAUUCCACGUGCCAGAAAUGUUUUUGCUGAUGCUUUGGCUACUUUAUCUUCAAUGAUUCAACAUCCAGAUGAAUUGGUGAUUGAGCCUAUCCAGAUUCAAUUGCAAGAAAAGCCUACACAUUGUUUGGUUAUGAAAAAAUCUUCUGAUGGCCGUCCCUGGUACAGCAAUAUUAAGGAAUUUCUCAAAACAGGGUCCUAUCCUCCAGGUGCUGAUGCAACUGCUAAAAAUUUCUUGUGCAUAUUAUCAUCCAAGUUUUUCUUGAAUGGAGAUGUGGUCUACAAAAGGACGUCAGACUUGGGCCUUCUAAGAUGCGUCGAUGAAGAAGAAGCAGAUUAUUUGAUGAAAGAAGUGCACAGUGGUGUAUGUGAAUCACAUAUGAACGGGCAUUUAUUAGCAAAGAAGAUCAUGGAAUAUGAUAUUUUUAACUUACUAUGGAGCAUGAUUGUAUAGAUUUUGUCAGAAAAUGCAUUAAAUGUCAAUUGCAUGGGGAUGUUAUGCGCACUUCCCCCACAGAAUUACACAGUAUGACUGCUCCCUAAUCAUGUUUAAUGUGGGGUAUGGAUAUAAUUGGAACCAUUGACCCUCCUGCUUAAAACGGGCAUCGAUUUAUUUUGGUGGCAAUUGAAUAUUUUACUAAAUGGGUUGAAACUGAGUCUUGCAAGCAUGUGACUAAGAAUGUGGUGACCGAUUUUCUAAGGAAACACAUCAUUUGUCGUUUUGGUAUGCCAGAGACAUUAAUCACUGACAAUGCUAAGAAUUUCAACAAUGACAUGGUAGAUAGAUUGUGCGAGCAGUUCAAAAUCAAUUAUCAAAAUUCUACUAUUUAUAGAUCACAGAUGAAUGGAACUAUGAAGGCCGCAAAUAAGAACUCGAAGAAGAUAAUCCGUAAAAUGAUCGAAAGACAUCGGGAUUGGCACAAGAAGCUCCCCUAUAUAUUAAUGGCAUAUAGAACUGCUAUUCAGACUUCUAUUAGGGCAAUGCCUUACAACCUCAUGUAUGGAAUAGAAGCAGAUUUGCCGGCUGAGGUCGAAAUUUCCUCAUUGCGCAUAUUAAUGGAGGCCAAACUAAAUGAAGCAAAUUGGAUUAAAUAACGUCAUGAGCAAUUGUCUUUAAUUGAUGAGAAAAGGUUAAAAGUCAUUUGUCAUGGUCAGUGCUAUCAAAAGAGAAUGGCCCGUACUUACAACAAGAAGGUCAAAGUGUGACUAUUCGAAAAAGGAGAUAAAGUGUUGAAACGGAUUUUGUCAGUACAAGAGGAGGCCAAAGGCAAGUUUGCACCAAAUUGGUAGGGCUUUUUUAUUCGUCAAUAUGGUAUUGUCUGGUGGAGCACUUGUUCUCGCAGAAAUGAAUGGACAAGUUUUCCCUCAACCGAUCAAUUCGGAUAUGUGUAAAAAAUUCUUUAUCUGAUAAACGGAAGUUUUCUUUUAGAGUUAAUGGGAAGAAUGGAAUAAAAGUCAGGUUUUCUUCCUUUCCAAUUAAAUAUUCUAUGCCUAGUUAUCCCUUUUGAACUUUCAUAAUAAAUUAUUUCGUUUGACAACUCCUGAGAAUCGCAAACCCCACACUGGGGCAAGUUUGAGUUAAAAAAGAAAAGAGAAAUCUCAAGAGGUGAAAAAUGAUAGACAAGAAAAAAAAUGAAAAGAAAUUAAAGAAAAGAAUCUCAAUUAAAAAUAAAUUUGGGCAAUUUUAGUUUAAUCCUAAAUCGGGUUAAUAUGAAGAUGCAACCUCAAGUGAUUUAAACAUUUAUAAAAUUUGCCUUCAAGUCUUAACCAUUUGUUAGCACCUUACCUGAUCACAUUACGAAAAAUCGAAAGUCCUGACUUCCAUUCUUUGUAUCACCUCUUUAAAGAAAUUUUCUAAUCAAAUGACAAAUGAUGUCAAUGCACCUUCACCAAUUUUACAAAGGAAUGAUUGUUGCACUGAUGCCGUCAUUUCUUAAAACACAUUUCUGAGUUGAUAAGAGCUAUCGGCAGGAUUUGUUUAUCAGGUGAAAAUCCAAAAGCGCACCUUUAAAAAAAGAAAAAAAGAAAAAAAAGAAGGAAACAGAAAAGAAGAAAGAAAAAGGAAAAAUGAAUAAAAGAAGAUAAAAAGGGUGGGGGUAACUUUAGUGAAAACUCGAAAGGGCGCUAAGGGUUUUAUGUUGAAAAGUGAGCUUGGAUUGGAAUGGCUGAAGACUCAACUCAUUUGAGUUUCUCUUCACGGUUGUAGUUUUGUUGCCGACAUUAAACUCCGGAUGAACGAUAUCCAAAGGGUCAAAUGUAACAUUUUGUUCGAAAUCCAAGUGUUUUGGUUCAUCAAACAUAAAUUUUGGAGUGUACAGGUUUAUUUCGCUAAAGUUAAUUUUCUUUCAAUAAAGGUAAAUGGCUAUGGCUGUUUUUCAUGUUACUAGAAUUUCUAUAAUUUUUGUGUACAUAAAAUAUUUUUUCAUAUGUUUCAUGGUCUCAUUUAUCUCUUUGAAUUUAUCAAACGACAAACCCUAUGAUUUAUUGAAAUUGUUUGGAUACUAAAUGUCAUAUUUCAUCAGCAUUGAAAGUUAUGAAAAUUUGAUGUUGUUCGCAGAGCAAAGUUGAGUUUUCGCUACAUCGGGGAAGAAUGUUCAAAUACUCAUGUUUACACAUUUCUUGAAAGCGAAUUUCAUCAGAUGGUGGUAGCAUUAUUUAUCAUAUGAUUAUUUCUUUUGCAUGUCCAAAUGUCCAAUAACAUCACACUAGGGCAAAUUCUCUAAAAAAAUAGUUAACUUUCUCCAUCAGAAUCUUCGAAAUUUUACAGAAAAGCCUUCUGCAAAAAUCUUUCCAAUUUUCAUGGCAGUUAUGGCAGGCUCAGGUUUUAUCCUACUGACCAAUUUUACGGCAGGCUUGAAUUUUAUCCCACUGACUGAUGUUACGGCAGACUCGAAUUUUAUCCCACUGACCAAUUUCACGGUAGGCUCGGAUUUUAUCCUACUGACCGAUAUUACGGCAGGUUCGGGUCUUUAUCCCAUUAACCAAUGUUAUAGCAGGUUCGAAUUUUAUCCCACUGACCUUUAUAUAUUUAUUUCAGUUCACGGCAGAAUAACUACAGGUAAGUAUUUGGUGUCUACAUUUUUGUCUCAAGUUUCUUCGAAAUUCAGAUAAAGAGGGGUAAGCUGUAGACACCAAAAUUUCAAUUUUUAUGUAAUUCAAUUUUAGCUUUAUUUUUUAUUAUUUAUUCUUUUUAUUUUAUUUUAUUUUAGUUGAUUAAGUUUGCAAAAUGAUAGUUAGUGUUUAUUUUUUGCUUAUUUUAGUAAAUUAGAUUCAUCAUUUUUCUUUUUAAGACAUUUUUUGUAUUAAAUUUCUGAAAAAAAAAAAGAAAAUUCUUACAAAAAUUUGUUUUAAUCUUUUUAAAUUCAGGUACUUCAAAAUAAAAUGAAAAUUAGUGAUGCAUUUAACAUUUUUUUUGUUACCCUAAACUUUUUUUGAAAAAUAAAAAAUAACAAAAUAAAAAAUAGGUGGAGACCAUACAAACUAGCUAAGUGGGAUAGGUAAGGGUUAGACAAGUGUUCUUAUUUUUUGUUGAUACCACAACACUUGCUAGAUUAGAUAGCAGGACACUUGUUGAUUUGGAAAAAUUUGGAGAAAAAUCUGAAAAUUAGGAGGAAAGGAAGAAGCUACGGGAAAAAAGAGGGAGAAAGGAAGCAAGGAAAAGAAAAAAGAAAGGCGGCAGACGGAGGGAAAAACAAGAAAAAAGGGAGGCUACGGGGCUGGGAAGAAAAGAAAGCAAAAAAGAAGAACAGAGUAAGAAAAAGAGGGAAACCGAGAGAGAAAAAUUUGGGAGAGAGCUUUGGGGCUAAACAAGAGAGAGCAAGAGAGGUAGGGAGAAACUACAAGAGAUAGAGAGAACGAGAGGAAAACUCUAGAGAAACAAGAAACAAGAAACAAGAAAAAAAAAAAAAAGAAGCUGCGGAGAAGAAAGAGUUUGGGCAGAAAAAAAAAACUAAGAGAAAAGAGGAACCAGUAGCAAAAGAAAACCAAGGAACAAAGGAGAAGACGGAGCUGCCGUCGCUCGCCGAAAUCAUCCACCACCGUUGUCGUCAAUCUUCACCGGAAAAACACUAAUUUUUGCUAACGAAUGUAUGGAAAUGAGAGUUAUUGACCUGCUUGCUUCUCUCCUUUUUCUUUUAGUAAAAAUUUCUUAUCUCUUUCUGAUGUUUAUGCAUUCGUGUGGAGUUGUAAUUUCUGUUGUUUGUAAGAGAGUUGGUUAGGUUGCUGUAAAUUUUAGGCUUGCUAUUUUGCAAAUCAAUAAAAUCGAUUCAAUUUUGUUGAUGCACCUAACCUGUUUGAUCAAUGGCCUCUGCGUAAACUUAAGCCAAAGAAGUCAAUGUGGUGAUUUUCUGUGUGAGUGUAAGA